GCACACAGCAGGUCAAGGAUCUCAGGACCCAGGCUGGACUAGUUCUGUUGCAGCAGGAAGAGUUCCCUGGACCUCCUUUCCUCUUUUCAGUCUCAGGCACUGUUUCCAACAGGAAAGUCUGGAGAGACCGCUUUCCUUUCCAAAGGGCAGUCUGCCCAGGGGCAAAGGCGGGCUUGCCAGCCUGUACCUGCCGCUGUUCGGGGAGACGAAAACCACUGUAGAGCUUUCUUGUUUGAAGUGCCGCGUGCUCAUCUCGGCUGUCAGUGUUCCUAGACUGCUUCUGUGGACUUAGAGCUGACCUUUAGAGGAUGACAUUUGAGCACGCAGAGCCGAGCUUCCUGUGCAAAGUACAAUGAGUUCGUGACUGUGUCCAGAGCUACAGACAUUCCUAUUUGUCCGUGAGUUGCAUGACUAAUGCGCUUGGCCUCGUUAAGAAUGAAGUGGGCACAUGAGAACGUUUUCAAGGACAUCAGCCGGUGCUGCUUGGACAGAGGAGAGCCACUAGUGAAAACACCCCAAGGCUUCUUCCUGGUGCAGGGCAGACCCUGGUUAAAUCAUUCCAGUGAUCCAUGGUGGUAGAUGGAGUUUGGAGGUACCAGUAAAUUCCUGGUUCAGUAGUGCCGUGUGGCUGCAUCACCGUGUUCCGGAAGAUGGCUUGUAAGGAGAAGUGAGAUACACAACUUCCAAGUUGGGCCCUGAAAAGAAAGUAGCGUGACAUCUCACUUCAUUUUCCUUCUUCCUGUGGCUGGAAUGGAAAAGUGAUGGUGGGAACUUGGGCAGCUCUUUUGGACCACAAACAGAAAGCAGGCGGGCGGGGGCACCUGGGGUCCUCAAUGGGUUAGGCCUCGACUUCAGCCUCCGGUCAUGAUUUCACGGUUUAUGAGUUCCGGCCCCACGUUGGGCUCUGGUGCUGACAACUCAGAGCCUGGAGCCUGCUUCAGAUUCUGUGUCGUCCUCUCUCUCUCUCUCUCUCUCUGCCCCUCCCCUGCUCAUGCUCUGUCUCUC